rnacentral:rRNA from 1 species
UACGUAGGUGGCAAGCGUUGUCCGGAUUUACUGGGCGUAAAGGGUGCGUAGGCGGCGCGGAAAGUUGGGUGUGAAAUCCCUCGGCUUAACCGAGGAAUGGCGCUCAAAACUACCGUGCUUGAGGGAGACAGAGGUGAGCGGAACUUAGGGUGGAGCGGUGAAAUGCGUUGAUAUCCUAAGGAACACCGGUGGCGAAAGCGGCUCACUGGGUCUUUUCUGACGCUGAGGCACGAAAGCCAGGGUAGCGAACGGG